ACGGGAGGCAGCAGUGGGGAAUAUUGGACAAUGGGGGAAACCCUGAUCUAGCGACGCCGCGUGAGUGAAGAAGUAUUUCGGUAUGUAAAGCUCUUUAGGCAGGAAAGAAAAUGACGGUACCUGCAGAAUAAGCCCCGGCUAACUACGUGCCAGCAGCCGCGGUAAUACGUAGGGGGCAAGCGUUAUCCGGAUUUACUGGGUGUAAAGGGAGCGUAGACGGCUGUGCAAGUCUGAAGUGAAAGCCCGCGGCUUAACUGCGGGACUGCUUUGGAAACUGUAUAGCUAGAGUGUCGGAGAGGUAUGUGGAAUUCCCAGUGUAGCGGUGAAAUGCGUAGAUAUUGGGAGGAACACCAGAGGCGAAGGCGGCUUACUGGACGAUUACUGACGUUGAGGCUCGAAAGCGUGGGGAGCAAACAGGAUUAGAUACCCUGGUA
rnacentral:rRNA from 1 species